CUCUCCCCGGCCCCGCCCCUCUUUCCUGGCGCUCCUUGGGGGUCCAGCGUCCCAGAUUGCACGUGUAGUUGUUGUGGUUCGCCCUCACGUGGCCACGGAAGUGCGGGCGCCACAGGACCCGCCUCCAAGAUGGCGGCCCCCAGUGCAUGGGGCCGUGAUCCUGCUCUGCUCAGCCUCGAAUUAUAUCCCUGACGCGGUCUUCUGGGCCAUGGACCAGCCUGGCUUCACGACCUCGCUGGUGGCUGGUGGGUUAGCAGGUGUCUCUGUUGACUUGAUAUUAUUUCCUCUGGAUACCAUUAAAACCCGGCUGCAGAGUCCCCAAGGAUUUAAUAAGGCUGGUGGUUUUCGUGGAAUAUAUGCUGGCGUUCCUUCUGCUGCUAUUGGAUCCUUUCCUAAUGCUGCUGCCUUUUUUAUCACCUAUGAAUAUGUGAAAUGGUUUUUGCACACUGAUUCAUCUUCAUAUUGGAUGCCUGUAAAGCAUAUGUUGGCUGCCUCUGUUGGAGAAGUGGUUGCCUGCCUGAUUCGAGUUCCUUCUGAAGUAGUUAAGCAGAGGGCACAGGUAUCUGCUUCUUCGAGAACAUUUCAAAUUUUCUCUAACAUCUUAUAUGAAGAGGGCAUCCAAGGAUUGUAUCGGGGCUACAAAAGCACGGUUUUAAGAGAGAUUCCUUUCUCGUUGGUCCAGUUUCCCUUAUGGGAGUCCUUAAAAGCCCUCUGGUCCUGGAGGCAGGAUCAUGUGGUGGAUUCUUGGCAGUCAGCAGUCUGUGGAGCUUUUGCAGGUGGAUUCGCAGCUGUAGUCACCACGCCUUUGGAUGUGGCAAAAACAAGAAUCAUGUUGGCAAAGGCUGGUUCCGUCACGGCUAGUGGGAAUGUCCUCUCUGCCCUGCACGGGGUCUGGCAGACACAAGGGCUGGCAGGAUUGUUUGCAGGUGUUUUCCCUCGAAUGGCAGCAAUCAGUCUGGGAGGUUUCAUCUUUCUUGGUGCUUAUGACCAGACUCGCAGCCUGCUGCUCAGACUCGGCAGAGAGAGCCCGUGAAUCAGACGCCCCACGUCCGUUUCUGUCAAGAAAGGGUACUGCUGUGGGAACUCUCUGCCUUCCGGGAAGUGUCCAGCGGCCCAUGUGGUGUGUGAAAGCAAGCAAGCAGUUGCAGCUCAAGUGACUAGGCGGGCCCAGCUGGCCUCGGGCAGGAGGGCACAGGGGUCCUCUGAGGAAGCUGAGCCAGAGUGCACUCUUCUCGGUUUCAGACUGGAAGGGCGGGCCUGGGCCGCCUUUGGAAAAAGUGGUGUUCUUUUCAUUCCUAAUCAGUAAGGUCUGUAGGCUGGAGUUUUAAGCUCAACAUUGGGAACAGAAGGGAUGGAAUGGGGCAGGUCACCAUUGUAGAGCCUGACAAAUCAGUUCCAGGUGUUAGAAAACUAACUUCAGAGAAAAAUCUCAGGCAUCUAGUGGUGUCAUGUCUUCCCUGAAGCAAUAGUAUAUAUAAUUCUGCUUUGGC